UGAGGUUCAAGAGUACAAUGGAACACUCUAUGGUGGCUCCCUGCUUGCUUCUUAUGCAAUCAUUUUUACUCCCUAGAGUUUUUUACUUGUUGCCAUCUUUGUAUGGCUAUAAAAUAAAAUUACCUAAGGACUAAAUAAAGAAAAUUACCUAAGGACAAAAUAAAGAAAAUUACCUAAGGACUAAAUAAAGAAAAUUAUUGAUCAUAUAUAUAUAUAUAUAUAUAUAUAUUUUUUUUUUUUUGGUACAAAGUUAUUGAUCAUAUUAUACACCCGCAGUGGCACUCAAAAAC
rnacentral:lncRNA from 1 species